rfam:Toxocara canis scaffold285, whole genome shotgun sequence.
GCGGUAGUAGCUCAGUGGUAGAGCCCCCGCUUCGCGUAUGGGGAGACCUGGGUUCAGUUCCCGGCUGCUUCU